UGCAGUCGAGCGGUAACAGAUCCAGCUUGCUGGAUGCUGACGAGCGGCGGACGGGUGAGUAAUGCAUAGGAAUCUGCCCGAUAGUGGGGGAUAACCUGGGGAAACCCAGGCUAAUACCGCAUACGUCCUACGGGAGAAAGGGGGCUCCGGCUCCCGCUAUGGGAUGAGCCUAUGUCGGAUUAGCUAGUUGGUGAGGUAACGGCUCACCAAGGCCACGAUCCGUAGCUGGUCUGAGAGGAUGAUCAGCCACAUCGGGACUGAGACACGGCCCGAACUCCUACGGGAGGCAGCAGUGGGGAAUAUUGGACAAUGGGGGAAACCCUGAUCCAGCCAUGCCGCGUGUGUGAAGAAGGCCCUCGGGUUGUAAAGCACUUUCAGCGAGGAAGAACGCCUAGCGGUUAAUACCCGCUAGGAAAGACAUCACUCGCAGAAGAAGCACCGGCUAACUCCGUGCCAGCAGCCGCGGUAAUACGGAGGGUGCAAGCGUUAAUCGGAAUUACUGGGCGUAAAGCGCGCGUAGGUGGCUUGAUAAGCCGGUUGUGAAAGCCCCGGGCUCAACCUGGGAACGGCAUCCGGAACUGUCAAGCUAGAGUGCAGGAGAGGAAGGUAGAAUUCCCGGUGUAGCGGUGAAAUGCGUAGAGAUCGGGAGGAAUACCAGUGGCGAAAGCGGCCUUCUGGACUGACACUGACACUGAGGUGCGAAAGCGUGGGUAGCAAACAGGAUUAAAUACCCUGGUAGUCCACGCCGUAAACGAUGUCGACAAGCCGUUGGGUGCCUAGCGCACUUUGUGGCGGACAUUAACGCGAUACGUCGACCGCCUGGGGGAGUA
rnacentral:rRNA from 1 species